UUUUCACUGAGGAGUCCCACAAUAGGACGAAACGACCGUCAAG
rnacentral:hammerhead_ribozyme from 1 species